rnacentral:rRNA from 1 species
GUGUCAGCAGCCGCGGUAAUACGAGGGGGGCAAAUGUUGUUCGGAAUCACUGGGCGUAAAGGGAGCGUAGGCGGGCUUCUAAGUUAGAUGUUUAAUCCCGGGGCCCAACCCCGGACAGGCACCUAAAACUGGAAGUCUUGAAUAGUGGAGAGGACGGCGGAAUUGGGGGUGUAGCGGUGGAAUGCGUAGAGAUCCCCAAGAACACCAGUUGCGAAGGCGGCCGUCUGGACACAUAUUGACGCUGAGGCUCGAAAGCAUGGGGAGCAAACAGGAUUAGAUACCCCGGUAGUCC